rnacentral:rRNA from 1 species
GACGAACGCUGGCGGCGUGCUUAACACAUGCAAGUCGAACGGAAAGGCCCUGCUUUUGUGGGGUGCUCGAGUGGCGAACGGGUGAGCAACACGUGAGUAACCUGCCCUUGACUUUGGGAUAACUUCAGGAAACUGGGGCUAAUACCGGAUAGGAGCUCCAGCUGCAUGGUGGGGGUUGGAAAGUUUCGGCGGUUGGGGAUGGACUCGCGGCUUAUCAGCUUGUUGGUGGGGUAGUGGCUUACCAAGGCUUUGACGGGUAGCCGGCCUGAGGGGGUGACCGGCCACAUUGGGACUGAGAUACGGCCCAGACUCCUACGGGAGGCAGCAGUGGGGAAUAUUGCACAAUGGGCGGAAGCCUGAUGCAGCAACGCCGCGUGCGGGAUGACGGCCUUCGGGUUGUAAACCGCUUUCGCCUGUGACGAAGCGUGAGUGACGGUAAUGGGUAAAGAAGCACCGGCUAACUACGUG